rnacentral:rRNA from 1 species
UUGCUACCGGACCUAGCGGCGGACGGGUGAGUAAUGCUUAGGAAUCUGCCUAUUAGUGGGGGACAACAUCUCGAAAGGGAUGCUAAUACCGCAUACGUCCUAUGGGAGAAAGCAGGGGAUCUUCGGACCUUGCGCUAAUAGAUGAGCCUAAGUCGGAUUAGCUAGUUGGUGGGGUAAAGGCCUACCAAGGCGACGAUCUGUAGCGGGUCUGAGAGGAUGAUCCGCCACACUGGGACUGAGACACGGCCCAGACUCCUACGGGAGGCAGCAGUGGGGAAUAUUGGACAAUGGGGGGAACCCUGAUCCAGCCAUGCCGCGUGUGUGAAGAAGGCCUUAUGGUUGUAAAGCACUUUAAGCGAGGAGGAGGCUACUUUAGUUAAUACCUAGAGAUAGUGGACGUUACUCGCAGAAUAAGCACCGGCUAACUCUGUGCCAGCAGCCGCGGUAAUACAGAGGGUGCGAGCGUUAAUCGGAUUUACUGGGCGUAAAGCGUGCGUAGGCGGCUUAUUAAGUCGGAUGUGAAAUCCCCGAGCUUAACUUGGGAAUUGCAUUCGAUACUGGUGAGCUAGAGUAUGGGAGAGGAUGGUAGAAUUCCAGGUGUAGCGGUGAAAUGCGUAGAGAUCUGGAGGAAUACCGAUGGCGAAGGCAGCCAUCUGGCCUAAUACUGACGCUGAGGUACGAAAGCAUGGGGAGCAAACAGGAUUAGAUACCCUGGUAGUCCAUGCCGUAAACGAUGUCUACUAGCCGUUGGGGCCUUUGAGGCUUUAGUGGCGCAGCUAACGCGAUAAGUAGACCGCCUGGGGAGUA